rnacentral:snoRNA from 1 species
ACAAGGGAAUACUGAGUGAUUCAAAACCAAGAAGAGUGUCCCGUGCCAAAGCAAACUUAACCCCGAACCAUUGCAUGGCUUUACCUCGUGGGUUUCAGGCACUAAAGCGGGUUGCACAGUG